CGCGGCCUAUCAGCUUGUUGGUGGGGUAGUGGCUUACCAAGGCUUUGACGGGUAGCCGGCCUGAGAGGGUGACCGGCCACAUUGGGACUGAGAUACGGCCCAGACUCCUACGGGAGGCAGCAGUGGGGAAUAUUGCACAAUGGGCGGAAGCCUGAUGCAGCGACGCCGCGUGAGGGAUGACGGCCUUCGGGUUGUAAACCUCUUUCAGCAGGGACGAAGCGUAAGUGACGGUACCUGCAGAAGAAGCACCGGCUAACUAUGUGCCAGCAGCCGCGGUAAUACGUAGGGUGCGAGCGUUGUCCGGAAUUACUGGGCGUAAAGAGCUCGUAGGCGGUUUGUCACGUCGUCUGUGAAAUCCUAGGGCUUAACCCUGGACGUGCAGGCGAUACGGGCUGACUUGAGUACUACAGGGGAGACUGGAAUUUCUGGUGUAGCGGUGGAAUGCACAGAUAUCAGGAAGAACACCGAUGGCGAAGGCAGGUCUCUGGGUAGUAACUGACGCUGAGGAGCGAAAGCAUGGGUAGCGAACAGGAUUAGAUACCCUGGUAGUCCAUGCCGUAAACGGUGGGCGCUAGGUGUGGGGUUCCUUCCACGGGCUCCGCGCCGUAGCUAACGCAUUAAGCGCCCCGCCUGGGGAGUACGG
rnacentral:rRNA from 1 species